rnacentral:rRNA from 1 species
GAUGAACGCUGGCGGCGUGCCUAAUACAUGCAAGUCGAGCGAACAGACGAGGAGCUUGCUCCUCUGACGUUAGCGGCGGACGGGUGAUUAACACGUGGAUAACCUACCUAUAAGACUGGGAUAACUUCGGGAAACCGGAGCUAAUACCGGAUAAUAUAUUGAACCGCAUGGUUCAAUAGUUAAAGACGGUUUUUCUUUCACUUAUAGAUGGAUCCGCGCCGCAUUAGCUAGUUGGUAAGGUAACGGCUUACCAAGGCAACGAUGCGUAGCCGACCUGAGAGGGUGAUCGGACACACUGGAACUGAGACACGGUCCAGACUCCUACGGGAGGAAGCAGUAGGGAAUCUUCCGCAAUGGGCGAAAGCCUGACGGAGCAACGCCGCGUGAGUGAUGAAGGUCUUCGGAUCGUAAAACUCUGUUAUUAGGGAAGAACAAAUGUGUAAGUAACUAUGCACGUCUUGACGGUACCUAAUCAGAAAGCCACGGCUAACUACGUG